CCGUAGGUGAACCUGCGGAAGGAUCAUUACCGAGUGAGGGCCCUCUGGGUCCAACCUCCCACCCGUGUUUAUUUUACCUUGUUGCUUCGGCGGGCCCGCCUUAACUGGCCGCCGGGGGGCUUACGCCCCCGGGCCCGCGCCCGCCGAAGACACCCUCGAACUCUGUCUGAAGAUUGUAGUCUGAGUGAAAAUAUAAAUUAUUUAAAACUUUCAACAACGGAUCUCUUGGUUCCGGCAUCGAUGAAGAACGCAGCGAAAUGCGAUACGUAAUGUGAAUUGCAAAUUCAGUGAAUCAUCGAGUCUUUGAACGCACAUUGCGCCCCCUGGUAUUCCGGGGGGCAUGCCUGUCCGAGCGUCAUUGCUGCCCUCAAGCACGGCUUGUGUGUUGGGCCCCGUCCUCCGAUCCCGGGGGACGGGCCCGAAAGGCAGCGGCGGCACCGCGUCCGGUCCUCGAGCGUAUGGGGCUUUGUCACCCGCUCUGUAGGCCCGGCCGGCGCUUGCCGAUCAACCCAAAUUUUUAUCCAGGUUGACCUCGGAUCAGGUAGGGAUACCCGCUGAACUUAAGCAUAUCAAUAAGCGGAGGA
rnacentral:rRNA from 1 species